rnacentral:rRNA from 1 species
UACGUAGGUGGCAAGCGUUGUUCGGAAUUAUUGGGCGUAAAGGGCGCGUAGGCGGUUUGUUAAGUCGGUUGUGAAAGCCCGGGGCUCAACCCCGGAGAGUCGACCGAUACUGGCAAACUAGAGUACAGAAGAGGUAGCUGGAAUUCCUGGUGUAGCGGUGAAAUGCGUAGAUAUCAGGAGGAACACCUGAGGCGAAGGCGGGCUACUGGGCUGAUACUGACGCUGAUGCGCGAAAGCCAGGGGAGCAAACGGG